AGAGUUUGAUCAUGGCUCAGAACGAACGCUGGCGGCAGGCUUAACACAUGCAAGUCGAACGGGCCCUUCGGGGUCAGUGGCAGACGGGUGAGUAACACGUGGGAACGUACCUUUCAGUUCGGAAUAACCCAGGGAAACUUGGGCUAAGACCGGAUACGCCCGUAAGGGGAAAGAUUUAUCGCUGAGAGAUCGGCCCGCGUCUGAUUAGCUAGUUGGUGAGGUAAAGGCUCACCAAGGCGACGAUCAGUAGCUGGUCUGAGAGGAUGAUCAGCCACAUUGGGACUGAGACACGGCCCAAACUCCUACGGGAGGCAGCAGUGGGGAAUAUUGGACAAUGGGCGCAAGCCUGAUCCAGCCAUGCCGCGUGAGUGAUGAAGGCCUUAGGGUUGUAAAGCUCUUUCGUCCGGGACGAUAAUGACGGUACCGGAAGAAGAAGCCCCGGCUAACUUCGUGCCAGCAGCCGCGGUAAUACGAAGGGGGCUAGCGUUGUUCGGAAUCACUGGGCGUAAAGGGCGCGUAGGCGGCCUGAUAAGUCGGGGGUGAAAGCCUGUGGCUCAACCACAGAAUUGCCUUCGAUACUGUUAGGCUUGAGACCGGAAGAGGUAAGUGGAACUGCGAGUGUAGAGGUGAAAUUCGUAGAUAUUCGCAAGAACACCAGUGGCGAAGGCGGCUUACUGGUCCGGUUCUGACGCUGAGGCGCGAAAGCGUGGGGAGCAAACAGGAUUAGAUACCCUAGUAGUCC
rnacentral:rRNA from 1 species